rnacentral:rRNA from 1 species
GACGAACGCUGGCGGCGUGCUUAACACAUGCAAGUCGAACGGAAAGGCCCUGCUUUCGUGGGGUGCUCGAGUGGCGAACGGGUGAGUAACACGUGAGUAACCUGCCCUUGACUUUGGGAUAACUUCAGGAAACUGGGGCUAAUACCGGAUAGGAUCUCCUGCUGCAUGGUGGGGGUUGGAAAGUUUCGGCGGUUGGGGAUGGACUCGCGGCUUAUCAGCUUGUUGGUGGGGUAGUGGCUUACCAAGGCUUUGACGGGUAGCCGGCCUGAGAGGGUGACCGGGGACAUUGGGACUGAGAUACGGCCCAGACUCCUACGUGGGGCAGCAGUGGGGAAUAUUGCACAAUGGGCGGGAGCCUGAUGCAGCGACGCCGCGUGCGGGAUGACGGCCUUCGGGGUGUAAACCGCUUUCGCCUGAGACGAAGCGUGAGUGACGGUAAUGGGUAAAGAAGCACCGGCUAACUACGUG